rnacentral:rRNA from 1 species
GCGAAACCUUUACAAUGGCACCGAAACGUGUGAUAAGGCAACCUCCUUGUGCUUAUCCAAAAGAUAGGCUUUUUAGUAUGUAAUGUAUACUAAGAAUAAGUGAUGGGCAAGACCGGUGCCAGCAGCCGCGGUAAUACCGGCGUCACAAGUGGAGAUCACGGAUUACCUGGGGUCUAAAGUGUUCGUAGGCUGGUCAUAUAA